CCUACGGGUGGCAGCAGUAGGGAAUUUUCGUCAAUGGGCGCAAGCCUGAACGAGCGAUGCCGCGUGAGUGAAGAAGGCCAUCCGGUCGUAAAGCUCCGUUGCGGGGGAAAAAAGGCAGCACCAGGAAAUGGGUGCUUACUGAUGGUGCACCGCCAGAAAGUCACGGCUAACUACGUGCAAGCAGCCGCGGUAAUACGUAGGUGGGGAGCGCUAUCCGGAUUGAUUGGGCGGAAAGGGUACGCAGGCGGUCCUGCAAGUCUGGCGUGAAACGGAUGAGCUCAACUCAUGCAUGGCUUUGGAAACUGGAGGACUGGAGAGCAGGAGAGGGCGGUGGAACUCCAUGUGUAGCGGUAAAAUGCGUAGAUAUAUGGAAGAACACCAGUGGCGAAGGCGGCCGCCUGGCCUGUUGCUGACGCUGAGGCACGAAAGCGUGGGGAGCAAAUAGGAUUAGAUACCCGAGUAGUC
rnacentral:rRNA from 1 species